AUUGAACGCUGGCGGCAGGCUUAACACAUGCAAGUCGAGCGGGGAAAGGUAGCUUGCUACAUUUCCUAGCGGCGGACGGGUGAGUAAUGCUUAGGAAUCUGCCUAUUAGUGGGGGACAACAUUCCGAAAGGAAUGCUAAUACCGCAUACGCCCUACGGGGGAAAGCAGGGGAUCUUCGGACCUUGCGCUAAUAGAUGAGCCUAAGUCAGAUUAGCUAGUUGGUGGGGUAAAGGCCUACCAAGGCGACGAUCUGUAGCGGGUCUGAGAGGAUGAUCCGCCACACUGGGACUGGAACACGGCCCAGACUCCUACGGGAGGCAGCAGUGGGGAAUAUUGGACAAUGGGCGAAAGCCUGAUCCAGCCAUGCCGCGUGUGUGAAGAAGGCCUUUUGGUUGUAAAGCACUUUAAGCGAGGAGGAGGCUACCGAGAUUAAUACUCUAGGAUAGUGGACGUUACUCGCAGAAUAAGCACCGGCUAACUCUGUGCCAGCAGCCGCGGUAA
rnacentral:rRNA from 1 species